rnacentral:rRNA from 1 species
AUUGGACGCUGGCGGCAUGCUUUACACAUGCAAGUCGAACGGCAGCACGGACUUCGGUCUGGUGGCGAGUGGCGAACGGGUGAGUAAUACAUCGGAACGUACCCAGUAAUGGGGGAUAACUAUCCGAAAGGAUAGCUAAUACCGCAUACGCCCUACGGGGGAAAGAGGGGGAUCGCAAGACCUCUUGUUAUUGGAGCGGCCGAUGGCUGAUUAGCUAGUUGGUAGGGUAAAGGCCUACCAAGGCAACGAUCAGUAGCGGGUCUUAGAGGACGAUCCGCCAAACUGGAACUGAGACACGGUCCAGACUCCUACGGGAGGCAGCAGUGGGGAAUCUUGGACAAUGGGCGCAAGCCUGAUCCAGCAAUGCCGCGUGCGUGAAGAAGGCCUUCGGGUUGUAAAGCGCUUUUGUCAGGGAGCAAAUCCUUGUGGCUAAUACCCACCGGGGAUGAGAGUACCUGAAGAAUAAGGACCGGCUAACUACGUGCCAGCCGCCGCCGUAAUAC